rnacentral:rRNA from 1 species
UGUCUAAACGACUCUCGGCAACGGAUAUCUCGGCUCUCGCAUCGAUGAAGAACGUAGCGAAAUGCGAUACUUGGUGUGAAUUGCAGAAUCCCGGGAACCAUCGAGUCUUUGAACGGAAGUUGCGCCCCAAGCCAUUAGGCCGAGGGCACGCCUGCCCGGGCGUCACAC